UAGGUGAACCUGCGGAAGGAUCAUUACCACACCAAAUAAACUAUCCACGUGAACGUAUACUUAUAUUGGGUUUGUGUUGCUCCUUUGCGAGUGACUAACCGAAGGUUUCGAAAGGAACCGAUGCACUUUGAAUCCCUUUUACUUUAUGUCUGAACCAAUUCGGCAUACAGAAAUGUGUGCUUACAAUUGACAUACAACUUUCAACAGUGGAUGUCUUGGCUCGCACAUCGAUGAAGAACGCUGCGAACUGCGAUACGUAAUGCGAAUUGCAGAAUUCAGUGAGUCAUCAAAAUUUUGAACGCAUAUUGCACUUCCGGGUUAGUCCUGGGAGUAUGCUUGUAUCAGUGUCCGUGAAUACUACAUUGUUUCAUGUAUUUGAAGCAGAAUGUGAAGUGUCUUGUUUCGGCAAGUCCUUUUAAAUGAGUAUUACCUGUGCACCCUUGUGGUUUGUACUAUAUAAAGGUAUUUGCAAUUUCGACUUUGGCCGUCCGGUGUGAAGGUACGUGGCUUGAAAGGAGGAAUGGAUCGCGGUAGUUUUGCUUGUGCUUGGGUGCAGGUGAAUCGUAUUAUUGCUUUUUGUUCUUUUGGAAGGGCUCUGUGUUUGAUCGCUGGAUUCAAUUUCAAGUUGUAGUUCCUGGUGCAUUCCUUGGUGUAUGGAGGCAGAUUGGGAAACAAAUCCAAUUUGGACCUGAUAUCAAGCAAGACUACCCGCUGAACUUAAGCAUAUCAUUAAGCG
rnacentral:rRNA from 1 species